AAAAAUGAGUGGUAAUGCAUAUUAUCUGCCUGUAAGAUUCACUCUCUUUGGAUCGGUCUUGCUGCCCUCAUUCUGGUAAACAUUUCUGAUACUGGGAGGAGUAAAAUCUUAGGUUUGAGAUCUCUUUCAAGUCAAACUAAUCAUGGCGGUUAGCUUGGCUUUGUGAUUCAAUGGAUGCAAACCUGUGUGCAGAGUCACAAAUUAGUUAUACUGAAUUAGGCUCUUAGUUUUUUUAUUUUCUUUUUGAGAUUUUAAUUAUCUUUUGUCUCAAGGAGUGAAUAUCCCACAGACCAAACAAGAAGGUGAGCGAGAAGACGAUGGCCCACUCCAUUCCUCAAACCAAACAUGCCAUAACAACAUGCUUUCAAAAAAUACCUGUCUUUUUCAAAUUCUUAUUUAGAAAUUAGAUCAUGUUGCUUUUGCAUCACAAGAAAAAAAAUUAGCCAUGAUUAUUGGCCCUGAAAACACCGAACCAUAAGCAUCAUUGUGUCCCAUCUCACCUCAGCAUCCCAGAUAAAACCAUGAAGAUAGACAUAAGAAAAUGAUACUGAUCCUAUGAACUCAAUUCCCAUCAUGACCAUUUGUGCAAACCAGAAGAACAAAAUAUCAUGGCUGUGAAGGAAAGUGUCAGGCAUCAAUGUAAAGAACAAAACCUUGACAACAACGCAAGUAUUAAUCCACUGAAAGAAGAAACGAUAAAUCAAUCUGUUGCCAAAAGUAACAUACCCUUUCUCCAGAACAGUUGAAGGAUAAAAAUGCUUAUAAUCCUCCUUGGAAAGAUCAUGCCAACCAAGCGUGCUAAAAGGCCAUAGAGCACUGCAGGACAAUAACAACAAUUGAAAAUAACAGAAACUAUAGUGCCUUUUUUGACAGGUAAAAAAUCAGUGAAUCCAACUAUGGUAUUGAAACUGUAUAUUUCAACAGAAAAGGAAGGGACAGGUGAACCACCAAUUACAAGAAAAAGCAAAAGAUCAGAGAAGGGAACAAAACACAUUGUUCAAGUGACCAGCAAAAGGAGCAAGAUCUUCCCAAGGAAUUUGUGCGAUUGUCGAUAUGUUUGUCUAUCAUCCAAAAUUAUAUAUCGAUUCUUUAGAAAUAAUAUGUACGAUGUUAUAAUGUUUGUUCGACAUUAGUUCAUUCUAUUUGAGUCAGUCUAUCUAUAAUAAUAUUGCAUAUUUAUAUUGUCAAUAUAAUAUUAGUGUUAUGGUGAUAUUUUGCCACACGGACUUCUGUAGUUUGCUUUGUUCAUUAGCCAAACAACAAGUAUUAUCAGUUUUCAACUUAUUUUACAAAAUAACUAAUGCUAAAUGCUGAUGAGAAAAAUUCAGUUCCAACUUAUCCUCCGUGCUCCCUUUUAGAAUAUGAAAUUAUCUGACAGAGAAUACUCAUUUUUUAACAGUGCAAAAUCUUUUGCUAUUUUAUAUCUCAGAAUGUGAAUACUUAUGUUUUCUAUAAUGAUCAUGGGUCAUUUUGACUACCCUGGGAAAUUCGGAGCUGUGUUCGCCUCAAUUCCUGGACCCAUCUUUGCAGCUCUAUAUUGUCCAACAAAAGAUUUGAUCAGUGUGAAGGAUAGGGCCCGCGUGAUGUACGCGAAGGACAAGGAGGAGUGGGUGCUGAUUCACUCCACGACGAUCUCCGGCUUGAAGGGAAGGACAAGGCAUGCCAGCAUGAUGAAAAAGAGGUAGAAGGAAAGCAAAAUGCAAAGACUCAAGAAAAAGAAUUCCAAUCACUAGAUUAAAGAACUACCAGGGAGACCGAGGAAGGAAGAAGGAGCUAAGGAGAUAGGCCGCAUCGGGAACAACAUCGCCGUUCUCAUCCACCCCCUCGACGACGCUAAGGUACAAGAAGAGGAUGAAGCACACACCUUCUUCCCCUGGUCCUAUUACAUCCCCGCUAGUCGGAUCUCUCGCUCCACCGUCGCUGCCAAAUGACACCACGUGCUCUCCC